GAUGAAGAACGUAGCGAAAUGCGAUAAGUAAUGUGAAUUGCAGAAUUCAGUGAAUCAUCGAAUCUUUGAACGCACAUUGCGCCCGCCAGUAUUCUGGCGGGCAUGCCUGUUCGAGCGUCAUUACAACCCUCAGGCCCCCGGGCCUGGCGUUGGGGAUCGGCGGAGCCCCCCGUGGGCACACGCCGUCCCCCAAAUACAGUGGCGGUCCCGCCGCAGCUUCCAUCGCGUAGUAGCUAACACCUCGCGACUGGAGAGCGGCGCGGCCACGCCGUAAAACACCCAACUCUUCUGAAGUUGACCUCGAAUCAGGUAGGAAUACCCGCUGAACUUAAGCAUAUCAAAAGCGGAGGA
rnacentral:misc_RNA from 1 species